UUCGUAGAGCAGCAUCUGUUGCGUCUGUGGCAGCAAAGCAUGCCUAUGCCGCUGCUGCUUCCACGCAGGGUUCCAAUGAAGAGAUGCUGCCCCUGAAGUGCUGCUUGAUGUCUGUGUCGUUACCUUGGGAGCACAUUGCUUAUGAUCUUUUGUUUAAGAGAAGUCCUCCAGUGAACUUGUAGGACUUACAUGAUGAGAGACAAAAGACAAUCUUGGGUUCCACCUUUAUUAAUUGAGGGGGUAAAUGAUUGUCUAUUUUACCACCCUAAAAGAGGAAAGUGCGAAGGAUGACAAAUGCCAAUCGGACAUGGUGCUCCGACCUGCUAGAGAAAAGCAAAGGAGUUUUUUCUGCUUUUAAAGUUGUAUGCUCUCUCUCUUUCCCCCUCUCGAAUAUUUUGGGUGUUGGGUUACUUGUGUGAAUGGGACGAUGACUGUGUUGAAAAUAUUGUAUAAAUUCUUCGAGGUUUAUGAUCAGGCUAAGAAAAUGAUUGGUGAAUUCAUCUUUGCUG